CUUAAGCUAGCUCUUCUCAUCGCAUCUCCAGAAGAGAUUAGGGUUUCAUGAGUUUGAUUCAAUCGAUCUGUUUAGAGAUUAGAGUAUUUCGAUCUAUGGAAGUUCUUUCGGUUUAGGUUUUUCAUUAAUCGAUCUGUUAAUUCAAUUGUCUGUUUUUUUCAUUAGGGUUUUUCGUUAGUCUUUCAUUUUGGGGCUUUUCUCAUCUGAUAAAUCUUAGUGUUUCAUCCUAAAUCUAGUACGAUUUCUUUUCCGGAUUUCAUUUCAGGGUUUCACUGAGAAAUUUCAAUGGCACAAGUUAUUAAAGGAAGUAGUGAAAAACGAAGGGGAAAGACAACUGAAGCUUUGAGUACCGAGAAAAGAAAGCGAGAAGAGGAAGAUUUAGAUCUUAAUCUUUCUAAGUGUGUGUCUUUAGAAGUCAAAACAAUACUGAAUGAUGCAAAAUCAAAACCCGAGAAAGAAUGGCAGACUUUUGUGAAGGCACUUUCAAAGAGCUCUAAAGAGAUAUAAACACCUAAAAGUUCUAUUUCUCACAUCGCUCAAACUAAUUGGUGUAAUUGGCAGACUUAGAGGUCCUAAUUCAGUGCAAUGUUCUACUGGUGCUGGUGAACUUGUCCGAAUAUAUUCUCCGGUGUCCUACUUGGAUUGGGAGCGAAUUCCAAAUACCUUGAAUGAGGAUGUCUGGAACGUGUAGCUGAAAUGGGGAUAAUUUUCUUUUGCUGUUGGAUUUUCUUGAAGGACUUCUGAAAUUUGAGGCGACGAAGUAUUGAGUUCAAAUUGAAAUUAAUCGGUAGUACCCUUCCUGAUACCAAGUGUGGCGAUAUCUAGCAAUGGGAAAUCAGAAGUCAAACACCUACUGAGAUGCAGAACUACUCCCACGAAAAUGUUGAGGAAGCUGCACCAUGGACAAGGUUAAUUGGAUAAUUCUCUGCUGCAACAAGUUUGGAGCAAAAAGGUUGGAGAACGAGGCAGACAUUAGGUUGCAGUAAGUUUCUAUGUACAAUUUGUGAACAGAGGAAUUUCAAUAAACUGGUACUUAGUAUAUAUCCCUUAAUAUUUGAUAUUUAACAAAUAAAAUUUGUACUGAGAAGGAUUUAAGUUCUUUUUUGUAUGAAUCCAUAUGAGUGUGAUAAGAAUUGAUUGAAUGUGGAAAAUAUUGUUGAUUGUGGAGGAUAAAAUGAGAGGAGUAUGUAGGUGGUAAUUUAAAAAUUCCUGGGUAUUCUAUGAGC